AAUUUUAGUAUGUCUAUAUUUAAGUGAGAUUUAAGAUGAGGUUAAGAAAAAUAGUUUUAAAAGUUGGGUCCUCAGUAUCGUGAAGGGGGGUUUUGCAGACUUUAGCUUAAAAGUACCGUUAGGGAAAACUGAAAUAAAUUUGAAAAUUGUUAUUAACUUGAAGUAGAAGUGAAAGUUCGUACCUUUUGUAUCAGGGUGAAUUUAAAUGUUCCAAUUAUAUAGGCGAUCCCGAAAGAAGAAUAGCUAAGGACUUAUGCUUGUCCUGGUGGUAAACAGGUCUAUAAUAAAUCUUUAGUGGUGAAAUGCUAGUCGAGUCUUCUAAUAUCUGGUUGUUCCUAAAAUAAAUUUAAUUUAGCCUAAAUCUUUAAAAAUGCUGGUUUAGUUAAAUAGUCGGAGGGAAAAGCUUCUGAUUAAGUAUCUUGAUAUAAGUAUAAAUGUUUAAUAAUUGGGCAAUUUUGACUAGGCUUAGAAGUAGCCAUGUUUAUAAAGUGUCUUAACUAAGAUUAAGUCUAGGUAAAAUAUUUUUAUAUUCUUUUUCUAUAAUAAGGAACUUUAAUUAAUAACUUAAAUAAUUUAGUAAUAAUGAUUCUAUUAGUAUAAUUUGUCUGUGUGAGAUUAAUCAAAUCUGGAAUAAAAAUUAUUCUUUGUUAGUAGAGCCAAGAUAUAGUAAAGGAAUUCGGCAAAAAAGAUUUCCGCCUGUUUAUCAAAAACAUGUCUUCGUGAAUUUCAUGUGAAGUCUAGCCUGCCCAGUGACGUCGAAGUUUAACGGCCGCGGUAGCAUGACCGUGCUAAGGUAGCAU
rnacentral:rRNA from 1 species